UACGUAGGGGGCAAGCGUUGUCCGGAUUUAUUGGGCGUAAAGAGCGUGUAGGCGGCCAUGUAGGUCCGUUGUGAAAACUCGAGGCUCAACCUCGAGACGCCGAUGGAAACCAUGUGGCUAGAGUCCGGAAGAGGAGAGUGGAAUUCCUGGUGUAGCGGUGAAAUGCGCAGAUAUCAGGAGGAACACCGGUGGCGAAGGCGGUUCUCUGGGCAUUACCUGACGCUGAGGCACGAAAGCGUGGGGAGCAAACAGG
rnacentral:rRNA from 1 species